rnacentral:rRNA from 1 species
AUGACUAGAGAUAACCUCUCUAAAAGAGGCAUUGAAAGAUCUCUGGAAUGUGUUUACUGCUCUGAGAAAGAAUCAAUACAUAUCUUUUUUGACUGUAUUGUUGCAAAACAGAUGUGGAGCUCUGUUUCAGAGUUUUUCUCCUAUACUUUAGGAUCUGAUUACUUCUCCAUUGCCAAGUACUGGCUUGCCAAUAAGAAACACAAUGCUCUAAAUUCUACAUGUGCUUGUGUUCUAUGGGCUAUUUGGAAACAUAGGAAUUCCUGUAUCUUUAAGAAUGUAACUUGGAUUGAUGUGAAGGAGGUUUGGAACUUGGUACUAGGGCUCUUGAGGAGGUGGAUGAUCCUUUUCAAAGAAGCAGCUCGGGCAGGAAUAGAGGAAUUCAUGUCCAGGGUCUCCCUGAUACUGAACACUCCUUUCCAGAUCAUAGCGGGGUGA